AUACGUAGGGGGCGAGCGUUGUCCGGAAUGAUUGGGCGUAAAGGGCGCGUAGGCGGCCUGUUAAGUCUGGAGUGAAAGUCCUGUUUUCAAGAUGGGAAUUGCUUUGGAUACUGCUGGGCUUGAGUGCAGGAGAGGUUAUCGGAAUUCCCGGUGUAGCGGUGAAAUGCGUAGAGAUCGGGAGGAACACCAGUGGCGAAGGCGGGUAACUGGACUGCAACUGACGCUGAGACGCGAAAGUGUGGGGAGCAAACAGGAUUAGAUACCCUGGUAGUCCACACUGUAAACGAUGAAUGCUAGGUGUAAGAGGUAUCGACCCCUUUUGUGCCGGAGUUAACACAAUAAGCAUUCCGCCUGGGGAGUACGGCCGCAAGGUUGAAACUCAAAUGAAUUGACGGGG
rnacentral:rRNA from 1 species